GAUGAACGCUGGCGGCGUGCCUAAUACAUGCAAGUCGAGCGAACGGACGAGAAGCUUGCUUCUCUGAUGUUAGCGGCGGACGGGUGAGUAACACGUGGAUAACCUACCUAUAAGACUGGGAUAACUUCGGGAAACCGGAGCUAAUACCGGAUAAUAUUUUGAACCGCAUGGUUCAAAAGUGAAAGACGGUCUUGCUGUCACUUAUAGAUGGAUCCGCGCUGCAUUAGCUAGUUGGUAAGGUAACGGCUUACCAAGGCAACGAUGCAUAGCCGACCUGAGAGGGUGAUCGGCCACACUGGAACUGAGACACGGUCCAGACUCCUACGGGAGGCAGCAGUAGGGAAUCUUCCGCAAUGGGCGAAAGCCUGACGGAGCAACGCCGCGUGAGUGAUGAAGGUCUUCGGAUCGUAAAACUCUGUUAUUAGGGAAGAACAUAUGUGUAAGUAACUGUGCACAUCUUGACGGUACCUAAUCAGAAAGCCACGGCUAACUACGUGCCAGCAGCCGCGGUAAUACGUAGGUGGCAAGCGUUAUCCGGAAUUAUUGGGCGUAAAGCGCGCGUAGGCGGUUUUUUAAGUCUGAUGUGAAAGCCCACGGCUCAACCGUGGAGGGUCAUUGGAAACUGGAAAACUUGAGUGCAGAAGAGGAAAGUGGAAUUCCAUGUGUAGCGGUGAAAUGCGCAGAGAUAUGGAGGAACACCAGUGGCGAAGGCGACUUUCUGGUCUGUAACUGACGCUGAUGUGCGAAAGCGUGGGGAUCAAACAGGAUUAGAUACCCUGGUAGUCCACGCCGUAAACGAUGAGUGCUAAGUGUUAGGGGGUUUCCGCCCCUUAGUGCUGCAGCUAACGCAUUAAGCACUCCGCCUGGGGAGUACGACCGCAAGGUUGAAACUCAAAGGAAUUGACGGGGACCCGCACAAGCGGUGGAGCAUGUGGUUUAAUUCGAAACAACGCGAAGAACCUUACCAAAUCUUGACAUCCUUUGACAACUCUAGAGAUAGAGCCUUCCCCUUCGGGGGACAAAGUGACAGGUGGUGCAUGGUUGUCGUCAGCUCGUGUCGUGAGAUGUUGGGUUAAGUCCCGCAACGAGCGCAACCCUUAAGCUUAGUUGCCAUCAUUAAGUUGGGCACUCUAAGUUGACUGCCGGUGACAAACCGGAGGAAGGUGGGGAUGACGUCAAAUCAUCAUGCCCCUUAUGAUUUGGGCUACACACGUGCUACAAUGGACAAUACAAAGGGCAGCGAAACCGCGAGGUCAAGCAAAUCCCAUAAAGUUGUUCUCAGUUCGGAUUGUAGUCUGCAACUCGACUACAUGAAGCUGGAAUCGCUAGUAAUCGUAGAUCAGCAUGCUACGGUGAAUACGUUCCCGGGUCU
rnacentral:rRNA from 1 species